ACUUACACUGUAAAAAAAAUCUGUAAAAUAACAGUUAAAUGACUGUAUAUUUUAACAGAUUUUUUCCGUAUACACGUAUUACGGGUGUUUUUCCGUUUAUAUACAUUUUCGAAUUGCAUUGUGGGAAGGGGAUCGCAGCUCAGACAGCGUUUGAUGGACACCGGGACAUAUUUCUUCCUCUGUUUUUUCCCUGUUGUUUGUCCGUAUUUUUCUAAACUGCCGUGCGCGGGAAGUGACGUGACGUCCCAAUCACCCACUCACUCCCUCUGCACCUGCGUGAGUCUGACUGGAUUAACGGUAAACGUCAGCUUGUCUGUGAGAGUGUGAAAGGUGUGUUGGUGUAAAAAUUGAUGCUGACUGAACUCAGGCAGUUGUGCUGGACCUUCUGUACUUUAUACAGGAGAUGACAGUAAACUUUCAAGUUUAAGAGCCACCUGAUGAUGAGAGAGACAAUUUCAAUGUGGGCAUCUUGAUGAAGAAGAGUCCACAGUCACAAUAACAAGAUCAUUGGGCUGUCCCCUAAUUGUGGUGAGCUACAUGUUUAGUCUCUUAUGUGCUAAACAUUAUGUAGCCUAAGGAAGCAGCCCUGACUCUGGAGUUUAUAUGAAGGAGCAUGCUGAGUAACUAUCCAGAAUGUAGGUCCAAAGCAGAAAAAAGAGCACCAAGCAGAAACAUACCAUCUAAACUCCUUCGAUUCCUGUCAGACCAGAAAGACUUUCAGAAUCCUUGGAAGAUUUAAAGCCAUUGAAGUAUCAGUAUUGGAGCGGAAGAAGACCCAGUUGUAUCGUCUGUUUCCUGCCAUCUUGCAGUUUAACCUGGUUUCUUAAUGUAAAGUACUUGUAAUUUGCCCACUUGUCCUCAAUUAUCUUAAAGCUAACAUUUAAAACUAAUUUGCUAUGAGAUUAUUUGCCAAGACCUCUCACUGUGUGAUUCACAUGUCAAUAUGUAUUAUUGUGUGUAUAACUAGCUAUUUGGAAUUCAAAUGAUUUGUAUUCAUUAAAGAAUCUGUUU